rnacentral:miRNA from 1 species
CUUUUCCACCUAGGUGUCUCUCU